GAUGAACGCUGGCGGCGUGCUUAACACAUGCAAGUCGAACGAAGCACUUUUGAUUGAUUUCCUCGGAAAGAUUUCACUUGUGACUGAGUGGCGGACGGGUGAGUAACGCGUGGGUAACCUGCCUCAUACAGGGGGAUAACGGUUAGAAAUGACUGCUAAUACCGCAUAAGCGCACGGUAUCGCAUGAUACAGUGUGAAAAACUCUGGUGGUAUGAGAUGGACCCGCGUCUGAUUAGCUAGUUGGUGGGGUAGCGGCCUACCAAGGCGACGAUCAGUAGCCGACCUGAGAGGGUGACCGGCCACAUUGGGACUGAGACACGGCCCAAACUCCUACGGGAGGCAGCAGUGGGGAAUAUUGCACAAUGGGCGAAAGCCUGAUGCAGCGACGCCGCGUGAACGAAGAAGUAUUUCGGUAUGUAAAGUUCUAUCAGCAGGGAAGAUAAUGACGGUACCUGACUAAGAAGCACCGGCUAAAUACGUGCCAGCCGCCGCAGUAAGAC
rnacentral:rRNA from 1 species